rnacentral:rRNA from 1 species
UACGUAGGGUGCAAGCGUUAAUCGGAAUUACUGGGCGUAAAGCGUGCGCAGGCGGUUUUGUAAGUCUGUCGUGAAAUCCCCGGGCUCAACCUGGGAAUUGCGAUGGAGACUGCAAGGCUAGAAUCUGGCAGAGGGGGGUAGAAUUCCACGUGUAGCAGUGAAAUGCGUAGAGACGUGGAGGAACACCGAUGGCGAAGGCAGCCCCCUGGGUCAAGAUUGACGCUCAUGCACGAAAGCGUGGGGAGCAAACAGG